UACGUGGGGGGCAAGCGUUGUUCGGAAUUACUGGGCGUAAAGGGCUCGUAGGCGGCCAACUAAGUCAGACGUGAAAUCCCUCGGCUUAACCGGGGAACUGCGUCUGAUACUGGAUGGCUUGAGUUUGGGAGAGGGAUGCGGAAUUCCAGGUGUAGCGGUGAAAUGCGCAGAUAUCAGGAGGAACACCGAUGGCGAAGGCAGGUCUCUGGGCUGACACUGACGCUCAUGCACGAAAGCGUGGGGAGCAAACAGG
rnacentral:rRNA from 1 species